CUCACCAGGAUGCUCUCACUGGCCAGGUGCCCCCCUGCUGAGGUGUAAACAGGCAGCCAGUGGGUUUAAACAAUGGUUCCAAUGAGAUGCAUCCCUGCUGUCUCAGAACUGACUUAAAAUUAGACGGCAUUAAUUUCCAAAAGAACAAAAGAAAAGAUACUCUACCUUUAAUUAUAUUAAACCAGUAACAAUAUUACUUACCUGACUGAAUUUCUUCUGUAGAAGGGGUGGAAAUCACACUGGUUGGUACAGAACUUGGUGGAGUGUCUGUCUUUAAGGGUGUUAAGUUUAUUCUCCUUGAUUUAAAAAAAAAAAAAGUAGAGGGGUGAUGGCUCAUUAGUAUCACAGGAAUUGUUUAUGUAUGAUACCAACCUUCAAAACUACCAAAGGAAAUUCUUAAAUUUUCAGCUGAACUCAUGGUUCAAGGCAUUAAAUAGUAAGAUGUGCCCACUUGUUUAAUAACUGAGGAUUACAUUCAUGUAUUAAGUUAAACCAUCACAUUUAUAACAGUCAACUUAAACCAUAACCAGUCAUCGAGAAGUUUCAAAACCUGUGUUCUGUUCAUUACCCAUGGUCUUGUGAACACUCUGCUGGCUGCUGUAAAAGGCAGUCAGAUAUGGUUUCUAUAUAUAGAAAGCGCCGAAACACAGGUAAUACUUUUUUAAAAUCCAGAGCGUUGGGCCGGGCAAGAUUGUCUGCAUUUUGUGUUUCAUUUUGCAAUGACAUCUUGUUCCAACAAGUUCUUACCGGGGUGUUGUCUUGCUCCAGGCUUGCAGUGUGUUCAGAGUGACCCUCCGGGAUGGGUGGGCUUUUGUGUUUUGACUACUGGGCUGCAGGGUCUUCUCCUCCGAAGGCCCCGGCAAGGGGCUUUUGACAGCAGGAGUGAUGGAGGGAGGGUCCCUGAUGACUGUUGGGGCUGGGGCCUGUCUGGCCUGAGGGGGGGUCGUGCCGGGGCUGCUGGGGUCUUGGGUUCUGCUGGCAGGGGUUCCCUCUACCGGUCUGGGUCCUGGCGAAGACCCUCGAUGUGUCUGACUCUUGGUUUUCUUUGCUGUAUCAGGAGUUCUCAUGCUCAAAACUGGCUUCUCUUUCAAAGGAAUUCCAAGUUCAUCUUUCUCAAAUGUCACAAAUGAGCAGUAACCGUCCGUGGAAGAAAUGGCCAGGAAGGCACCAUCGCUGGACCUUCGUCCCCAAAACAGGGAAAAGUUACAGACCUUACCAACACUCUCACAUCUAGUUAGAAGAGGGAAGUUCGAGCAAAAUCACAAGCUUGUUUGAAGGCAAAAACCAGGGAAAAGAUACAACUGGAAAAGAGUGUGUGAUAGCGACUCACUCAUGCAGUUUCAUCGCGAUUUGCUAAGUCGCUGCAACCUAUCUGUGCUACUAGCAAUUUUCACUUGAAUAGGCUGGGUGCGGUGGCUCACGCCUGUAAUCCCAGCACUUUGGGAGGCCAAGGCAGGUGGAUCAUUUGAGGUCAGGAGUUAGAGACCAGCCUGGCCAACAUGGUGAAACCCUGUCUCUACCACAAAUACAAAAAAAUUAGCCAGGCAUGGUGGUGGGCGCCUGUAAUCCCAGCUAUUCGGGAGGCUGAGGCAGGAGAAUUGCUUGAACCCAGGAGGCGGGAGGUUGUAGUGAGCCAAGAUCGUUCCACUGCACUCCAGCCUGGAUGACAGAGUGAGACUCCGUUUCAAAAAAAAAAAAACCUCACACUGGGCCAAGCAGGCCACGGGGGCUGAAUUGGGGACCAAAAGGUGGCAGAAGGGCAGUGCUGAGUGACAUCCUCUACACAGGCCCAGCUUGGGGCACUUCCCUGUCCUGGGCAGCAGGGGCAUGCAGCCAAGGGCUUCUUCCCAGAGGGCCGCAGAAGUCCCCAAAUGGCCAGGGAGUCUACAAGGCCUCCCCUCAGUUUAUCAAAGUCCAGUUAACCCCACAAGGCAAUCUGAAUGCCAUCAAAACCCACUAGUGUGAAAAUAAGAAGCAAGUAUUGUGGCAAACUAGAAACGGUUUUCCUUUUAAUGUUGAUUCCUUUAAAAAACAAAAUUGGGGCCGGGCGUAGUGGCUCACGCCUGUAAUCCCAGCACUUUGGGAGGCUGGGGCAG
rnacentral:lncRNA from 1 species